rnacentral:rRNA from 1 species
CCUACGGGAGGCUGCAGUGAGGAAUAUUGGUCAAUGGACGAGAGUCUGAACCAGCCAAGUAGCGUGAAGGAUGACUGCCCUAUGGGUUGUAAACUUCUUUUAUAUGGGAAUAAAAUGUUCCACGUGUGGGAUUUUGUAUGUACCAUAUGAAUAAGGAUCGGCUAACUCCGUGCCAGCAGCCGCGGUAAUACAGAGGAUCCGAGCGUUAUCCGGAUUUAUUGGGUUUAAAGGGAGCGUAGGUGGAUUGUUAAGUCAGUUGUGAAAGUUUGCGGCUCAACCGUAAAAUUGCAGUUGAAACUGGCAGUCUUGAGUACAGUAGAGGUGGGCGGAGUUCGUGGUGUAGCGGUGAAAUGCUUAGAUAUCACGAAGAACUCCGAUUGCGAAGGCAGUUCACUGGACUGCAACUGACACUGAGGCUCGAAAGUGUGGGUAUCAAACAGGAUUAGAUACCCUAGUAGUC